rnacentral:rRNA from 1 species
GGCCCUCUCCGGUGGGCACGUGCACGCUUUCUCUUUCAUCCAACACACACCUGUGCACUCGUUGAAACAAAACCCCCCUCGGGGGUCGGUCUGCUCUACAUAAACUCACUUGUCUACAAAUUGAAUGUAAUUGAUGUAACACAUCUCUGAACUAAGUUUCAACAACGGAUCUCUUGGCUCUCGCAUCGAUGAAGAACGCAGCGAAAUGCGAUAAGUAAUGUGAAUUGCAGAAUUCAGUGAAUCAUCGAAUCUUUGAACGCACCUUGCGCUCCUUGGUAUUCCUUGGAGCAUGCCUGUUUGAGCAUCAUGAAAUCCUCAAGAUAAAAUCUUCCGUUCAUUCGAUUGGUUUUAUUUUGGACUUUGGAGGUCUUGCAGAUUCCCAUGUCUGCUCCUCUCAAAUGCAUUAGCUGGAUCUCCAUGAAGCCUUGGUUCCACUCGGCGUGAUAAAUAAUCACUCGCUGAGGACACUGUAAAAAGUGGCCAGGUUCCACAGAUGAACUGCUUCCAACCCGUCCUUUAGGUAGGACAGUGAACCUUU